UCGAGAAUCUUUCGCAAUGGGCGAAAGCCUGACGAAGCGACGCCGUGUGAGCGAAGAAGGCCUUCGGGUUGUAAAGCUCUUUCGCCUACGAACAAGAGAGGUAGAAUAACACUCUGCCAAUUUGAUAGUACUAGGUAAAGAAGCACCGGCUAACUCCGUGCCAGCAGCUGCGGUAAUACGGAGGGUGCAAGCAUUGAUCGGAAUUACUGGGCGUAAAGGGCGCGUAGGCGGCUUGGUAAGUCAGAUGUGAAAUUCCGGGGCUCAACUCCGGAACGGCAUUUGAAACUACCAAACUAGAGGAUAGUUAGGGAAAACGGAAUUCCACGUGUAGCGGUGAAAUGCGUAGAUAUGUGGAAGAACACCAGUGGUGAAGACGGUUUUCUGGGCUAUUUCUGACGCUGAGGCGCGAAAGCUAGGGGAGCAAACAGG
rnacentral:rRNA from 1 species